UCCCCGUUACCGAGGCAGUCUAGCCAGAAAAUACAACUGGCUACGAGGGUUGCGCUCGUUGAAGGACUUAACCUAACAUCUCACGACACGAGCUGACGACAGCCAUGCAUCACCUGUCACCGAGUUCCUUGCGGCACGGUCUAAUUUCUUAGACUUUCUCGGGAUGUCAAACCCUGGUAAGGUUCUUCGCGUAGCAUCGAAUUAAACCACACGCUCCACCGCUUGUGCGGGUCCCCGUCAAUUCCUUUGAGUUUUAAGCUUGCGCUCGUACUCCCCAGGCGGGAUGCUUAACGCGUUAGCUUCGCAACUGAGAGGGUCGAUACCCCCAACUGCUAGCAUCCAUCGUUUACGGCGUGGACUAC
rnacentral:misc_RNA from 1 species